UGGAAUAAAACUCUAGCCAGGAGCUCCACAAAGCUUACUAUUCUUUCUCUUCUUAGCUUGUCCCUGGCUUUUCUGGUUCGGAGGGUUUGUAGUCUGUAGCAGCCGAAGGAGGAGCAAAGUCAGAGAUGUCGAUUCUCAAGGUUUGUUGGGGUCCAUCGUUUGAAGGGACGUGGACAAGUGCGUCCAUUAUGAGAAUGUCCCACUCCCUUUGCUGUAGAAACCCAAACAAGCUAUCUUCUGUUCCAAAGAAACCCAAAAGAAAAAGUAACAAGUAGUGAGAAUCAUCAUCAUCAUCAACAUAGGCGUUCUGAGAAUAUUUACCUCCAUUGCGAACAGCUUUGAGAUGCAGGAUUCCAGUGCCCUGUGGGCCAACCACAGGAAAGGAACAAGACACUGAGUGCCUUUGCUGAGAAACAGCUAGUGAGGCAUUGUACCAUGGCCCUUUCUCAAUUGGCUCUCCUAUGGCUUCGAUCAUAGCCUUGUUCCUCAUCACCUUCUCCAUGGCCUUGCUGAAAGUCAAGCAUACAAAAGACCAACAAUUUUGAGAAAUCACCAAUGCAAUGCAACUGCUACAUUCUUCAAAAUCAUGUCAUGUAAUGUCAGUAAUUUGGAGAUACGAUUGUUCUGGUCAUUACUAAGGCUUCUUAAUUGAUUCCUAGUGAGGUGAGGAAGAAGAAGAAGUAACAUUACUUAUGAAAUUGGCGACACAAGCACAAGAAUACAAACGAAAUAUCAGACUAAAUCCUUGUAAAUGGGGGCUUUGCAGUGAGCGAUGUCAAAACGGUGCUCUCAAGCAAAAGGUUACUUACUCUGCUAACUAGAUGCAUAAAAACAAGCCAAAAUGGAAAUAAAUACCGAUUGAACUACAAGCGCCAAGAGCUGAAUAUUGGUUUGUUGUCUUUCCAUGUUAAACUAAAUGAUUAAACAAAACCUGUUGUCUAACUAAAAUCAUUCACUUGCUUUUCAACUCAGUCACUCAAAUAUAAAGUAUGUUGUUCGGAAUACAAUCAGAACGAACAAGGACAAAACUGAUCCACAACUAGCAGUACCUGAACUACAAUGCAUUUUCGUUUCUUUAAGUUUAUUACCUGCUACAUCGGCGAUAGAUAGAAAGGUCGUCGAGGGCACUCAAAGCAACACCACCGGUGACUGUAAUCAGGACAAAGGACACUGCCUUCCGACCAAAAGACCCCAAUGUCCCAUUUUCUUUCGCUGCUUUGUCGGAGGAGCUGUUCCACAUUACAUUUAACAAUCAUAGAUAACAUAAAAUGAUGCUGCGUAUCUUUCCCUAGACUCUCAGCUCAUUAGGUCUAAAUGAGCUAUGGAUCUUUCUACCAAAAGGGACAUGGAUCUUUCAACGAAACCAAACAAUAACGAUUUUCUAAUCUCGAUCAAAGCCGGAAAAUCGAAUUCCAUGGUCAAAUGAAAACGAGUAACAAGCUCACAGGUCAAAAUCGGAGUCUGGAUCGGGUACCUUGAGGUUGAAGAUCGUUUGAACACAGAAGUGAACCGCCUCGCAAACAUCUUCUCUCAGGUGAAUUUUUCGACGAUUUUGACCCGAGUCACUCGCUGAUUUGGCCCGGAGCACGUCGGUAGGGGGAAGAUCUAUAGGGUUUUGGGUUUUGCAGCCACCAUUUAGAAUUUCUUUUUCAAAAUAUUUACUUUGUUGAAAUAAAAACAGGAUAAAAUAAUAUUUUAUCAAUUUUGUUUGUCAUCUUUUAGAUUAACUAUGUAUUUCAAUAUUCUUAACAAUCUAAGUAACCUUUACAAAGUACUAUUCAUUCAUGAUUCAUAUAUCAUUUACAUUCAUCUUUUUUUUUUGUCCAUCAUUUCUUAAACAUCUUGGAAUAACUGAUGCUAAUUAAUAAUAAACUUUUAGCUAGAAAAAAAAAAUCAAAUUUGUCUAAUUAUUGCUUAAAUAUUUUAUUAAUAUUGUCUAAAAAGCUUUCAACUGAUAUCAUAGUUUAAUUUUUAUUAGUUUUUUUUUGGUUAAUUUUUAGAGCUUUUUGUAUUUAAGAUAUUUUUCCAUAUUAAACUUCUGUUUAUUUCACAGAAUUGAUAUAUAUAUAUAUAUAUGUCAUAAAAAUUACCAUCAAAUCAGUUUUACUUAUUUAUUAUUUUUUUAAUGAAAAUACACUUUUUAAAUAAUUUAAUUUUAAAAUAAAAUUAUAUAUUAAUUUGCUGUAUUCUAACAACAAUUUAAUUGAUUUAAUUAAUUUGCUUUAGUGGAUAACUUAAAAAAUUUUCAUAUGAAUCGGGGAAAGCAAGCUUAUGUUGUUAUAUUAUAUUUAUUUGUGUAUAUAGAAUCUAUAUAUAAUACCAGUGUAAUAAAGGAAGAACACUAUUUUUUGUAAGUUCAUAAAGAUACAUAUUACAAUUUGAAAUUAAUCAAAAUUGAAUAAAAUGUUAAUUAAAUAUUUGUAAAUCUAAUUGUUUUUUUAUCUUUUUUAGUUGGAUUCUCAUGAAAAGAAAUCGAUAGGUUAAACAAAUGUUUCAAAAUUUGUUGUGUUAUUGUUUUGUCUAUAAAUUACAAAAUUUAUUGAAUUGAUAUAUUUAAUUAUUGCACCCUUAAAUAAUAUUUUAUUAAGACAUUAGAGAACUAUGUUUUGAGUUGUUUUGUCAAAAUUGUACAAAAAUCUAUGCUUUUUCAUAUUUGGUCUUCUUCCACCCGGGCUCAGCCUACACUCAGUACACCUGGCAUCUACCCAAGAACUACACAACCUACUCGGUGUUCAUCCCUGAGGAUGAUAUUCGGAAGAGGAACAUGAGCAUAGAGGAACGACUCCUGCAGAUUCCACCAGAGCAGGUCAAGAUCAUGAGAGAGAACGUGAUAAACCUCAUCCCAGGGCUGAUCUACGCAGACCCGAGAUCAGAGCUGGAGACGCUGAAGGAUGCAUUUGAUGUCUCGGUGGAGGCCAUAAUAGACAAGGUGACUCGGUUAAGGAAGAACAUGAUCGAAGGUCGAACCGAGUAUGACAACUUCGUGGAGGAGAACAGCUGGAAGUAUGCGUUGCUGGAGGAAGGCCAACGGGAAGCUGGGGGACACGUGUGGGAUCCGUUCUUCUCGAAACCAAAGCCUGGAGAAGAUAGCAGUGGUGAAAGCAAUGGAGGAGGCACGACCAUUUCGGCUGAUGCAGCUAAGAAUUCAUGGAAGAGUGAACAGAGAGAUAAGACGCAGUAAAAUAAAAGAGACAGAACCAACCAACAUUUUGUUUACAUAUAGCUUUUGGUUUAUUAAUUAUUAUACGGACAAAAUUUGAUUUGUGUUUUGUUGUUGUAUUUGGUAUCAAAAAUGUAGUUUCUCCAUAGAGAUCAGUUUGUUUCAGCGUAUUGUUGUAUCAGUUUCAGCAACCCACAGAGAUUGAUAAUGACAGAGUUACCCUUUUCAAGUUUAGCUCAAAUCAGUGCUAUGAUUUAACCAAUCAUGUAUUGUAUAGUAAAAAAACGGAUGUGUUUUUGUUUUAUUAGCAGUAAAUAAAAAAUUCAAGGUAUGCUGGUGGCAUGUGGAGUGGAAUAAAACUCUAGCCAGGAGCUCCACAAAGCUUACUAUUCUUUCUCUUCUUAGCUUGUCCCUGGCUUUUCUGGUUCGGAGGGUUUGUAGUCUGUAGCAGCCGAAGGAGGAGCAAAGUCAGAGAUGUCGAUUCUCAAGGUUUGUUGGGGUCCAUCGUUUGAAGGGACGUGGACAAGUGCGUCCAUUAUGAGAAUGUCCCACUCCCUUUGCUGUAGAAACCCAAACAAGCUAUCUUCUGUUCCAAAGAAAC
rnacentral:lncRNA from 1 species